UACAGAGGUCUCAAGCGUUGUUCGGAUUCAUUGGGCGUAAAGGGUGCGUAGGUGGCGUCGUAAGUCGGGUGUGAAAUUUCGGAGCUUAACUCCGAAACUGCAUUCGAUACUGCGGUGCUUGAGGACUGGAGAGGAGACUGGAAUUUACGGUGUAGCAGUGAAAUGCGUAGAGAUCGUAAGGAAGACCAGUGGCGAAGGCGGGUCUCUGGGCCGAAAUUGACGCUGAGGAGCGAAAGCGUGGGGAGCAAACAGG
rnacentral:rRNA from 1 species